CAAGUGUAUGAAGUGUAAGGGUGACUAUGAAGCUGAUGAAUGAGUGGCCAUUUAAAAGUGUUCUAUUUAAAAGGAAGAGAAAGGAUCACUGUACGAGGUCUCCUCUCCACCCCCAUCAGCUGGACAUCAGGAGAUUUCAGAAGAUGAAAUAUAACCACAUUUUCUAUGAUGGCUGUGUGGCACCUCUGUCAAAAACAUGGAAGGCCCAGGACUACAAAGAAGGUCAUUUGUAAUGAGGAGAGAAGGUGGAGUCUAAGCUGUGGGUCUCAUACUGGCACUGCCAAUAACUACAGCCUAGAGAAAGAAGGUCACAGCGCUGCAGGGCCCUGACUGUAAAUGGUGCUUCUAUGGCUUUAAAGACUACAUAAUUUCAUUCCACUUAAGUCAGC